rnacentral:rRNA from 1 species
GGAUGGGGCUGCGAACCAUCAGCUAGAUGGUGGGGUAAAAGCCUACCAUGGCGACGACGGAUAGGGGACCUGAGAGGGUGACCCCCCACACUGGGACUGAGACACGGCCCAGACUCCUACGGGAGGCAGCAGUGAGGAAUAUUGCACAAUGGGCGCAAGCCUGAUGCAGCGACGCCGCGUGGGUGAAGACGGUUUUCGGAUCGUAAAGCCCUUUUCUGUGUGACGAGAGUGGACGGUAGCACAGGAAUAAGUGUCGGCUAACUACGUGCCAGCAGCCGCGGUAAAACGUAGGACGCAAGCGUUAUCCGGAGUUACUGGGCGUAAAGCGCGUGCAGGCGGAUUGUUAAGUUACUUAUGAAAGCUCCUGGCUAAACUAGGAGAGGUUGAGUGAAACUGGCAAUCUAGAGUGGAUGAGAGGUUGAGGGAAUUCCUUGUGUAGUGGUGAAAUGCGUAGAUAUGAGGAAGAACACCGGUGGCGAAGGCGCUCAACUGGCAUCCAACUGACGCUCAGACGCGAAAGCAUGGGUAGCGAACGGGAUUAGAAACCCCGGUAGUCCAUGCCGUAAACGAUGCACACUAGACGUUCGGGUGUCGUCGAGGCAUUGAGUGUUGAAGCAAACGCGAUAAGUGUACCGCCUGGGGAGUACGGUCGCAAGGCUAAAACUCAAAGGAAUUGACGGGGGCCCGCACAAGCAGCGGAGCGUGUGGUUUAAUUCGAGGAUACGCGAAGAACCUUACCUGGGUUUGACAUCUAAGUGGUACUGAGGCGAAAGCUGAGGGACUCUUCGGAGAGCUUAGACAGGUGCUGCAUGGUUGUCGUCAGCUCGUGCCGUGAGGUGUUCGGUUAAGUCCGCAAACGAGCGCAACCCCUCUCGCCAGUUGCCAGCGAUGCCCCUCGGGGCGGAUGGGAACUCAGACGAUACUGCCGGCCUAAACCGGAGGAAGGUGGGGACGACGUCAAGUCCGCAUGGCCCUUACGCCCAGGGCUACACACGUGCUACAAUGGCUGGUACAAUGAGCCGCAAGACCGCGAGGUUUAGCUAAUCUCAAAAAACCAGUCUCAGUUCGGAUUGGAGUCUGCAACUCGACUCCAUGAAGCUGGAAUCGCUAGUAAUCGGAGAUCAGCACGCUCCGGUGAAUACGUUCCCGGGCCUUGUACACACCGCCCGUCACACCAUGGGAGUCGGUUGCUCCAGAAGUGGGUAUCCUAACCGCAAGGAGGGAGCUUACCAAGGAGUGAUCGGUGACUGGGGUG